rnacentral:rRNA from 1 species
CAACAGCUAGAGUUUGAUCCUGGCUCAGGAUGAACGCUAGCGACAGGCUUAACACAUGCAAGUCGAGGGGCAGCGGGGAUGUAGCAAUACAUUUGCCGGCGACCGGCGCACGGGUGAGUAACGCGUAUGCAACCUACCCUUCACAGGGGGAUAACCGGGAGAAAUUCCGACUAAUACCGCAUAAUCCGCGGGGUCGCAUGACCUUGUGGUGAAAGAUUUAUCGGUGGGGGAUGGGCAUGCGUAAUAUUAGGAAGUUGGUGGGGUAACGGCCUACCAAUCCGACGAUAUUUAGGGGUUCUGAGAGGAAGGUCCCCCACAUUGGUACUGAGACACGGACCAAACUCCUACGGGAGGCAGCAGUGAGGAAUAUUGGUCAAUGGACGGGAGUCUGAACCAGCCAAGUCGCGUGAAGGAAGACGGAUCUAUGGUUUGUAAACUUCUUUAGUGCGGGAACAAAGGGGCCAUGCGUGGCAAGAUGAGUGUACCGCAAGAAUAAGCAUCGGCUAACUCCGUGCC